rnacentral:rRNA from 1 species
AGAGUUUGAUCCUGGCUCAGGACGAACGCUGGCGGCGUGCCUAAUACAUGCAAGUAGAACGCUGAAGAGAGGAGCUUGCUCUUCUUGGAUAAGUUGCGAACGGGUGAGUAACGCGUAGGUAACCUGCCUUGUAGCGGGGGAUAACUAUUGGAAACGAUAGCUAAUACCGCAUAACAAUGGAUGACACAUGUCAUUUAUUUGAAAGGGGCAAUUGCUCCACUACAAGAUGGACCUGCGUUGUAUUAGCUAGUAGGUGAGGUAACGGCUCACCUAGGCGACGAUACAUAGCCGACCUGAGAGGGUGAUCGGCCACACUGGGACUGAGACACGGCCCAGACUCCUACGGGAGGCAGCAGUAGGGAAUCUUCGGCAAUGGGGGCAACCCUGACCGAGCAACGCCGCGUGAGUGAAGAAGGUUUUCGGAUCGUAAAGCUCUGUUGUAAGUCAAGAACGAGUGUGAGAGUGGAAAGUUCACACUGUGACGGUAGCUUACCAGAAAGGGACGGCUAACUACGUGCCAGCAGCCGCGGUAAUACGUAGGUCCCGAGCGUUGUCCGGAUUUAUUGGGCGUAAAGCGAGCGCAGGCGGUUUGAUAAGUCUGAAGUUAAAGGCUGUGGCUCAACCAUAGUUCGCUUUGGAAACUGUCAAACUUGAGUGCAGAAGGGGAGAGUGGAAUUCCAUGUGCAGCGGUGAAAUGCGUAGAUAUAUGGAGGAACACCGGUGGCGAAAGCGGCUCUCUGGUCUGUAACUGACGCUGAGGCUCGAAAGCGUGGGGAGCGAA